rnacentral:lncRNA from 1 species
AGCUUUUAGCGCAUGGCCGACAGAAUGGUCGCACCUGCACUUAGACUUUAAAAAUAAUUUUAGUUGAUUUUUAAAAGAAGGAGAAAAGGUUUUCAGCGCAAGGCCGACAGAAUGGUCGCACCUGUGCUUAAACCUUUAAAAUAAAGUUUUUUAUUUUAUUUUUUAUAUUUUUUUUAUUUUUAUUAAUUUUUAUUUUUAAAAUAAUGUUUCAUGUAAAUAUUUAAAACAACGUAAGUAUUUUUAAGGAA